AUGGAGUUAAAACGGAUCCAAACAGCACAGGCAUUUGAGAACCCGAGAUUUCAAAGCGGGCGCCGACGCACAAGGCAAGAUGAUGUUUACGAUCCAUCACGGGUUCCUGAAACGCUUAAAGAGAGUGAUGAAUCUGGAAUGGAUGUUUGGCAACACCCUCGAGAAAGCAGUGUUUCUCCUGAUACACCUGCUCUGAUUAUUUGCUCACGUGGCUACACAGAUGAGCCUGCAAGGGACAGAGGAGUCCAGGGUGGCUGGAUCAGGGCAUCUAAUGCAUGGAACCUCUGAAGACUUUGUUUGACCAAAGAGUGUCUUGGCAUUGGUUGGUCUUCUGGUGUUGGUCGUUACCGUGAGGUUUUGAAAGUCACCCCUUCUGCAACAAGGCAUUUCAGGAAAGGAAACAGGAUUCUUGUAUACGGUAAGAAAAAAAAAACAAAACAACACAAUCUUAAAGGUAUCCUCCUUCUGGGGAAAAAAAAUUGCAAUUUUUCAUCUUAAAAACGAUUGGAAUUGCAAGGCAAGCGGGGACAACGUCUUUUAUGUGUGUCUCUCUGUGAGAGCACACAAGGAUAACAGGAGAGCAUAAUGGGUAUAUUCUAAUUCUAGUGUUAGAGAAGGUUUCUCAACCUUGGCACUAGCGACAUCUGUGUCUGGAUCGCUCUUCGGCUGGGGAACGUCCUGUGCCUCAAGGAUGCUGAGCAGUAGCCCUGACUUCUGCCUGCUAGAUGCAGUGGUACCCUCUCUAGGUGACACACCAAAAAUGACGCAGCCUUUGUCACUAGCCUCGUAGGGGGACAGCAGCGCCCCAGUUGAGAACUACUAUGUGGGAGGGAUAACAUCGUUUCUUAUAAUUUCUGCUGUUGGAGACAUUUGUUUUCCUUUUCUCAUGUUAUUUAUCGUCUGGAAUCUUCCUGCCCUCACUUCCCAGAAAAUAUACGUUGCCUGAGAGAAGGGAUCGUGUCCACUUUGCUUAGCAUACGCAGGUCGUAUCAGCUUUAAGACCUAACUCCUUGAAUACAGGAUAGAAAUCAAAACAAAUCUGCUUAUGCUUUGAGUAGGUAAAACAUGCUGUGAUCUCAUUUAUAAUAUAUUUAAACCUCUCCAAGUCAUUAAGCGUUACAUUAAAUGGAAUUUCAUGGAUUAGUGAAAUUUGCAAACAAUAAAAAUCCUUCACGUUGGCCAGGGUUCCUCUCUCCUAAUUGGUAGAGAGGAGAAAUAAGUAAGAAACCUAUCAGAUAUUGUAACUGCUUUGUAAUGUAUUAACUGGAGAAAACUCUCCAGAAUCGAGGCAUUUUGUCAAUUGAGAAGGAAAAAGCAAUGCACUCUUUAGACUGGUUGUCUGGCUCUGCUUACUCUUCCACGGGUUGGUCUGGGGAUUGAAGUGAUGAUGGGUUCUCACUUGCGGGAAGCAAUCAAUGGUGAACAAGCUCAGACUUUAGAAGGAAAGGCAGUAAUGAGGCCAGCUGCGGGACAGGCUACACUCAAGGAAGCCGAGGGGUGGAGCGCUGGAGAAAAAUAAGGGCGUUAUUAUUAUUAAGCCCAGUACACAGGGGUGUAGGGGUGUGAGCGCUAAACUCAGUCCGAAGAUAGACUUGGCAGAACUCGAGGCCAGAAGCAAUAGUCCCAACUGCUAUCUGAAAUUGAGCAUGUUUGUUUAUGAGACUGGCAUGAGUGUUGGGAAUUAGGAAACAGCAAGCCGAAGUCAGAGAUGGAAGUCACAGACAGGCGGCAGCUGUCCCUGGGGGUCCCAAUAGCAGAGAAACCUGCCGUGGCUGGGGAGGGGGAGGGGGCAGGAAGUCACCCUUCCUGGUGCCUCGGCUUAAACCUGCAUGCAGAUGGGUAGCCUUGGGGCCUGCAUGAAUCAGGGCUGUGAGGGGCUGAUGGUGGAGUGGUCUAAAGAACCUCAUUUGAGGGAGUAGGGGGCAUGCUUAUGUUCUCUUAAGACUUCAGCAAGUUGUAAUAGAGCCCGAAAGUGAGGAAUGUCCAGCUGCAGUGUGCUUAUUACUCCAGCCCCUGCGGGCGGGGCCCUCUCCCUCAAAGCUCAUUGUGAGGUCAGACACACAUGCACUGCUGCUGCUGUCAGGGGGGCCAAAGGGUAACUCUGUCCUGUUGUUCUGGAAGGAGGGGGAAAGGCAAGCAAGGAGGAAGAAAAGAAAGAGGGAGCGAGGUGAGAAUGUAACACAAGGCAAGAGUAUACUUUGU
rnacentral:lncRNA from 9 species